GAAAAGACUGCUAAUACCCUAUGAGCCCUAUGGGGGAAAGAUUUAUCGCCAUGAGAUGUGCCCGCGUUAGAUUAGCUAGUUGGUAAGGUAAUGGCUUACCAAGGCGACGAUCUAUAGCUGGUCUGAGAGGAUGAUCAGCCACACUGGGACUGAGACACGGCCCAGACUCCUACGGGAGGCAGCAGUGGGGAAUAUUGGACAAUGGGGGCAACCCUGAUCCAGCCAUGCCGCGUGUGUGAUGACGGCCUUAGGGUUGUAAAGCACUUUCAGCAGUGAAGAUAAUGACAUUAACUGCAGAAGAAGCCCCGGCUAACUUCGUGCCAGCAGCCGCGGUAAUACGAAGGGGGCUAGCGUUGUUCGGAAUCACUGGGCGUAAAGAGUACGUAGGCGGACUGAUAAGUUAGGGGUGAAAUCCCAAGGCUCAACCUUGGAACUGCCUUUGAUACUGUCAGUCUUGAGAUCGAGAGAGGUGAGUGGAAACUCCCCAGUGUAAAGGUGAAAAUUCGUAGAUAUUC
rnacentral:rRNA from 1 species